rnacentral:misc_RNA from 1 species
AAAAAUGAGAGAAAACACCUCAAACCCAAUUAUUGAAAAACCAAAUUUUCUCUUCAAUUACCCCCUUUCCAACAAUUAAUGCUGUAAAAGUUGUAAGGUAGUAAUAAUUAUGUUUCUUGGGCAGCCUUGGUGGAAUUAUGGUUCAUGGGUCUAGGUUAUGAUGAACUUUUUUUAAGAAUUGUAUAGAUAUUGCAUCUCUUGAUCGUGCAACAUGGAGCCUUAGUGGAAUUAUGGUUCAUGGGUCAAGGGUAUGAUGAUCUUUUUUAAGAAUUCUAUGUAUAUUGCAUCUCUUGAUCGUGCAACAUGGAGCCUUAGUGGAAUUAUGGUUCAUGGGUCAAGGGUAUGAUGAUCUUUUUUAAGAAUUCUAUGU